CCCUUAGAUGCUCUGGGCCGCACGCGCGCUACACUGGUCGAUGCAACGAGUUUCUUUCCUUGGCCGACAGGCCUGGGCAAUCUUUGAACAUCGAUCGUGAUCGGGAUAGAUUCUUGUAAUUUUUGAUCUUAAACGAGGAAUUCCUAGUAAACGCAAGUCAUCAGCUUGCAUUGAUUACGUCCCUGCCCUUUGUACACACCGCCCGUCGCACCUACCGAUUGAAUGGUCCGGUGAAAUCUCGGGACGGCGGCUUGGUCGCUUGCGUCCUACUGCUGAAACUUGAUUAAACCAUAUCAUUUAGAGGAAGGUGAAGUCGUAACA
rnacentral:rRNA from 1 species